UGACCUUGAAUGUUUCCAGGGAUGGGGCAUCCACCCCCUCUCAGGGCAGUCUGUGCUAACAGGACACCAGUGGCUGUCUGAGCAGCUCUUGGGACCAGACAGGAGAUCUCAGGGCUCCCAAAACACAUUCAGUUAUUGCUCAUUGGGUCAUGACCCCACUUCCAUUAAACUUUUAAUGGUUAGGUGCCUAUCCUGCUUGUAUUUCAGCAGCCGUUGGGCUUGAAGAGCAACCUGCUGCCCCCAUCCUUCUCAGGGUGCACGCUGUCGAGGUCCUGCUUCUGUCCCUGGCUCACACGAAAUGUUUCAAAAGAGAGCACAAGAAAUCCUGAAGGUGACAGCCAUGGAAUGACCUGCCAACAGGAAAAAGUUUCCUCCAAAUCCUAUUACUCAGAGGUUGGCUGAGACCCUGGAGCAUUAAUCUUGAUAUCCCCUAAAAUCUGCUUUUGUACAGCAUCUGACUUAGCCAUGUAUCAAACAGACAACCUCAAAGAAAUUCACAGCCCUGGAAAUGGAGACCAGAGACAAAUUGUAUGUGCUUUGCUCUGACUCUUCUUGGAAGCUGCAGAUGUUCAUUGUUUGGACACAAAACGGGCAGAUUAAUAUCUCCAGAUGUUCACCAUCCAUUCUUCCAGAACAUUAGUGGGCAGGCCAGGGAAUGGAUGCUUUUAGCAGAAACUUCAGUUUAUGCUACUGCUUCAGACAGAAGUAAUUUGUCAGAGCUGAUGUUCUGGAGAGCACCUGCUCCAAAAGCAGGGAGUCUACACAGAGCAAUGUCCUUCCCUGCCACCACCCAACACUACAUGGAGCCUAAAAACCAUCCACGCAACUGCUGAUGAACCGGCUUCCAAAGAGAACGAGAAUCCAGCAUUGUUUCUGACUAUUUUACCUGACAGGAAUAAGCAAAUAUUUAAAAUUGCUGAAGUUUUUAAGUGGCUGAGUGGCUUGGACAGUCAAUACAAGGAGAGAACUUCUCUUGAGCCACAGACAUAGCACUGUUUUUUAAAGAAAUUUAAAUGUGAAUUUGUCCAUAAUUGUGCUUCUUAUUCACAGAGGAAAAAAAAGCAGGUAUCAAUUUAGCAUUACCAAAUGUGAUACAACUAAUUGUCAUAUAUUUAUGUAUUCUUGGAGAAAAACAUGUGAUGACAUUUUUGGUAACAAAUGCCCAUUUUAAUUUGAAGAGCAAAGCUGUUUACCACCAAUUCUCAGUGCCAGGUUAUAUAAGAACACAAGUGAGAUGCUGCUG